rnacentral:lncRNA from 1 species
AUUGACUUAAUAUUUAUGGUUCAGUGGUUUGCAUAAAUUGGAUACAUAGGAUUUUUGUGAAUGUAAUAAAGAACUUAUGAUUUUUUUUUGAGACGAAAACGGUUUUCUACCUCUCAUGGUAGCGUGUUUUAGAAGAAAAAGAUUUUCGUGUGGGAAACUAUUUUGAAAAGGUUUUUAUUGGUUUUCAUGACUUUUUGUGUUUCAAAAUGAGUUUCCGAGUAAAAAAUAUUUUAAACUGAUAGAUGUGAAUUUAUGGAUAUCUAUGAUGUCUAUGAUGAAAUGAAUAUAAAUGUGAAUGGAGAAUGUAUGUGUAUGCUCAUACAGUUGUGGUUGUAUAUUUGUAAUAUCUGAGAUUUUGAGCAAUAAAGAGGGGAUUUUGAAAUUCAAAUUUUUGAAUUCAAAUAUAUAUAUAUAUAUAUAUAUAUAUAUAUAUAUAUAUNUUAAAGUGAAUAGUAACUUCGAUUUUCCGGAGAAGCCAAUGAGUGGAGAAGGCUUCUGGUGCGUAUUGGACUUCGAUCAUAGUGAUCUAAUAGCUAGUUUUCGACAGUUCGACUAUCCUGGACCCAAUGGCACUGACGGAUUUAGAUUCUGAUGCACGAUUUUCGAGAAAAAGAGUUUUAUUGGAUCUAUGUGUAUAGGUGUGGUUUUUGGAGAUUGGAGAGGGUUGGUUUUGUCGCUAAUCGGCGACCGAAUCGGACAAAACGAAAUGCUAGAUUCGAUGCCCCACUCGUGUUGAACGCACUCGCACGAUCCGAUCGAAAAUCCGACUGACGGAUCUUCGGGAAUCGCGAAAUAUUCGCUGAGGGGUCGAAAUCGGCAAAAUGAAAAAAUCGCAAAAAG